GCGAACCCAGGUCAGGCGGGACAACUUGCUGAGUU
rnacentral:rRNA from 1 species